GACGUAGGUGGCGAACGUUAUCCGGAAUCAUUGGGCGUAAAGGGUGCGUAGAUGGUCUGAUAAGUUAGCGGUGGGAAAUCGAGGCUCAACCUCGUGGAAGCCGGUAAUACUAUUCGACUAGAGGGCAGGAGAGGUUAACGGAACUCCAUGUGGAGCGGUAAAAUGCACAGAUAUAUGGAAGAACAUCAAUAACGGCGAAGGCAGUUAACUAUUCUGUUCCUGACAUUGAGGCACGAAAGCGUGGGGAGCAAAACGG
rnacentral:rRNA from 1 species